rnacentral:lncRNA from 1 species
CGGGGUUCCUCACCAAAACACAAGCGCCUGUCAGUCACCAGGCUUCUAAACAGCCGGGACUCAGCCAGCCACCUGCAAAGUCGCUGAGCCAUCUGCCAGCCACGCUUGGUGGCCAUUCCAAUCAAGGCCACAGGCUGUGCCCCUAGGGACAGCCUCAGAGCCCAGGGUUGUCCUCAGACACCCAUGAGGCAUAGCAGGGACCUGGGCCACCCUGGCCACUGACUGUGCUGGCCGCAGGGAUGGGAGUCUGCACCGCGUCGGAUGUGGGGACGCCCGGCCUCUGCCCUCCCAGGUGUGUGGCCGGGAGGCAAG